UGAGUGCGAAAACAGGAAAAUCUUAUGUCAGACGUAUGUUUAACAUCAAGGUACGAUAAUGCCAUCGAUAAGGCAGACAUCUCGAGACUUACCGGAAUAACUCUCGGCGGUUGAGUUCCCGGAAAAGAGCGCAGCUGCCGGAAGUCGCCAAAGCAAGGCGCUCUGUUCGCUCGCAAGCUCUACUCCGCCGAGCAGCUUUCACUGAGAGGGAACGAGUUUUCCCGAGCAGAGGUCCAACUACUCUCUACACCAGUUGUUGCUUUAUCCCGUCGACUGAAUCCGCUCAGAGGAGGCUCCAUCAGCUCCAAAGAUAAAGUAGAAAAUUUAUAUCACUAUGGAACAGAACUUUGGUUGUAAUCUUCAGAUGCAUUUUGCGAUGAGGCAAACGAAGAAUAACAGGAGAGAAGAGUUAAAGGAAAAAAAAGAGAAUCCGGGAGUUUAGUUCUCGAGAAAGAGUUGAAGCGUGAGAGCCUCCUGCUCCUAGUCGAAGGUAAUGUAAGGUUUUAAAUGUUGUCUAGUGUCUACUAGACGGGGGAUGGAGAUCGAGGGCUCGGUUUUGGGGGCCUUGAGAGUCGCAGGAUAAAUCUGCAUUUCGGUCUUAUUCCACUAUCCGUCGUAGCACUGGCUGCUGGGGUGUUCAUCGUAUAUAUACGGUGCUUUACCGAGAGAGCUUUCGAGCGACUCGCAAACACUCUGAUCGCGACACUGGGCUAGUACCCGGAGAGUUCUUCACUCGUUUCUAUUCGCUCGUGAAGGGCAUCAGCAUUUUCUGGGGAUCAAUGUACUCAAGAAUAACGUUGUUAUUUCAAACUCAAGAGGACGGAACAAUUCUUCGUGAUUGCGUCGAAAAACUCACCCAACCGGAAUAAAAAAUACAAUGGGAGUACCUCUUGUUUACCAUUAACUCCAAAAUCUCAA